rnacentral:rRNA from 1 species
CUCGAGGCCAGAUCUUUCCGGUUGAUCCCGCCGGAACUGACUGCUAUCGGAUUGAUACUAAGCCAUGCGAGUCAUUGUAGCAAUACAAGGCAGACGGCUCAGUAACACGUAGUCAACCUACCCUAUGGACGGGGAUAAUCUCGGGAAACUGAGAAUAAUACCCGACAGAUCAUUGUGCCUGGAAUGGCUAAUGGUUGAAAUGAUUUAUCGCCGUAGGAUGGGACUGCGGCCUAUCAGUUUGUUGGCGGGGUAAUGGCCCACCAAGACUAUUACAGGUACGGGCUCUGAGAGGAGAGGCCCGGAGAUGGGUACUGAGACACGGACCCAGGCCCUAUGGGGCGCAGCAGGCGAGAAACCUUUGCAAUGUGCGAGAGCACGACAAGGUUAAUCCGAGUGUUUUCUGCUAAAGAAAUCUUUUGUCAGUCCUAAAAACACUGAUGAAUAAGGGGUGGGCAAGUUCUGGUGUCAGCCGCCGCGGUAAAACCAGCACCUCAAGUGGUCAGGAGGUUUAUUGGGCCUAAAGCAUCCGUAGCCGGCUAUGCAAGUUUUCGGUUAAA